CCUACGGGAGGCAGCAGUGAGGAAUAUUGGUCAAUGGACGAGAGUCUGAACCAGCCAAGUAGCGUGAAGGAUGACUGCCCUAUGGGUUGUAAACUUCUUUUAUAAGGGAAUAAAAUGUUCCACGUGUGGGUUUUUGUAUGUACUAUAUGAAUAAGGAUCGGCUAACUCCGUGCCAGCAGCCGCGGUAAUACGGAGGAUCCGAGCGUUAUCCGGAUUUAUUGGGUUUAAAGGGAGCGUAGAUGGGUUGUUAAGUCAGUUGUGAAAGUUUGCGGCUCAACCGUAAAAUUGCAGUUGAUACUGGCAGUCUUGAGUACAGUAGAGGUGGGCGGAAUUCGUGGUGUAGCGGUGAAAUGCUUAGAUAUCACGAAGAACUCCGAUUGCGAAGGCAGCUCACUAAACUGCAACUGACACUGAGGCUCGAAAGUGUGGGUAUCAAACAGGAUUAGAUACCCUGGUAGUC
rnacentral:rRNA from 1 species